rnacentral:SRP_RNA from 1 species
CUGCCCGUUGCAAGUUGCGGGGUGGACCGGCUGGGGCCUAUGCGAAAGCUGGGCCUCACGGUCCAUAAUGUGGCAGGCACAGCGUGAGGCUGGCUUCACAGAGCAGCGACAACUGCCCACUUCCAACGGUGGAAGGAUAACGAGCCGCUACAUUCUUAGGCCGCUUGGGCCUCGCAGCCUACUCCAACGAACCAUCAUUUUU